GAUGAACGCUAGCUACAGGCUUAACACAUGCAAGUCGAGGGGUAACGAGAGGAAAGCUUGCUUUCCUUGUCGACGACCGGCGCACGGGUGAGUAACGCGUAUCCAACCUGCCCCCAACUAAGGAAUAACCUUGCGAAAGUAAGACUAAUACCUUAUAAUUUCCUCAGAUGACAUCUGACGAGGAAUAAAGAUUUAUCGGUUGUGGAUGGGGAUGCGUCUGAUUAGCUUGUUGGCGGGGUAACGGGCCACCAAGGCAACGAUCAGUAGGGGUUCUGAGAGGAAGGUCCCCAACAUUGGAACUGGUACACGGUCCAAACUCCUACGGGAGGCAGCAGUGAGGAAUAUUUGUCAAUGGGCGGAAGCCUGAACCAGCCAAGUAGCGUGCAGGAUGACGGCCCUAUGGGUUGUAAACUGCUUUUAUACAGGAAUAAAGUUAGCCACGGGUGGUUAUUUGUAGGUACUGUAUGAAUAAGGACCGGCUAAUUCCGUGCCAGCCGCCGCGGUAA
rnacentral:rRNA from 1 species